rnacentral:rRNA from 1 species
UACAGAGGGUGCGAGCGUUGUCCGGAAUCACUGGGCGUAAAGGGCGCGUAGGUGGCGGCCCAAGUCCAUGGUGAAAGCUCGAUGCUCAACAUCGAGUCGGCCACGGAUACUGGGUUGCUCGAGCACUGUAGAGGCAGGCGGAAUUCCGGGUGUAGCGGUGGAAUGCGUAGAGAUCCGGAAGAACACCGGUGGCGAAGGCGGCCUGCUGGGCAGUGGCUGACACUGAGGCGCGACAGCGUGGGGAGCAAACAGG